rnacentral:lncRNA from 1 species
CUAAUAAAUGAUUAGUGAUAUCAUUUAUUAUGCUAGUAAAGGAAUAUAUUAAAAAUACUAAUAAAUAAUCCAAGAAUAUAUUAAAAUAAUCCAUUACAAUCCAGGAAUAUAUUAAAAUAAUCCAUUACAAUCAAGUUGACAGAAACCUCUAUGUAGAUAAAGGGUUAACAAAAGCCUUUCCCCUUCUGCAUGAGAAUUUGACCUUAUGUUAACUUUUUAGCACUGUUCCCCUGGCAACCUGAUAAGGUGAUUUGCGAACUAUGUUGCUAUGUUGCUGGUAAAAAAGGAUGGGCUUCUGCUUGGUAAACCACAUUUAGAAAAAGAGAGAGAGCCAAGUAUGCCUGAUGGCAAACCACAGCAUUGGACCAGUCUGAGUUCAGUGCCUUUUAUAACUGGGCAUGCCCCUUGCAUAGACCUUGGACAAUAUGCCAAUGAGAUAGAUGGAAUUGAAAAUGGAUCACUGUUGGUUGAAUCUGCAGAUGUGGGGGGACCCACAGAUAUAGCAGAGCCAACUGAACUACACCAUUUUAUUUAAGGAACUUGAGCAUCUGUAGAUUUUGAUCUCCAUGGGGGUCUUGGAAUCAAUCCCCUGCAAAUAUAGAGGAACAACUCUACUGGCAAUGAUUCUCAUCCAUCUUCAAAUAAUUCUGUAAAGACAAUGGAAGACUAUUUGAUGGGCCUUUAAUUCUAUUUAAUAGUACUUGAAUUGAAAUAGACAUGAAUCAGUGACCAACAAAUUUAGAAAGCUGUCUCAAGAGUUAUUAAAUUGUUGUGUUUAGUCUCCUACCUUUCAGCUCUUUUAAAUUUGUAUCUUAAUGAUCUGAUACAAAUUUUUAAAAAAUUUUUAUUCAUAUUUUUAUGUAUGAAAGAAAGAUUCAUCUAUGUUGACAAUAAAUUUUUAGAAUCACAAAAGCAGGGGUGGUAACACUAAUCAGCUUCUUUAACGCAUUUACCCCCAAUAUCUUUGGCUUAACACAAUUAAAUUCCUUUUGUUAGUACAAAAAUUUAAUGCAGGUUGGACAGCUCUCCUAAAUGAUCCUUUGCAAGUGGCUAUUCAGGGAUCUGGGCUCCUUCCAUCCAGUAGUUUUGUCUUCCUGGAGUUCUCCUGUAGCCACAUGGAGAGAGAGAAUCCAGUCAAUCACACCUGGGAAUUUGUGGCACUAUACUGGCCAUACCUAGUUACAUGGCUCCAACUUUACUGCAAGAGAAUUUGAAAAAUAUAUAGUUCCAUGUGUCAAGAACAAAAGUGAAAAUUUUUAAUUGAAUUCUAGCACUGUCUUUAUCAUAGCCUCAAGAAAGGAGCCAACUUGGAGUUCCCAUUGUGACUCAGUAGUAUUGAACCUAACUGCUAUCCAUGAGGAUGAGGGUUUGAUCCCUGGUCUUGAUCAGUGGGUUAAGGAUCCAGCAUUACCAUGAACUGUGGUGUGGGUCACAGACAGAGCUCGUUUCUGUGUUGCUGUGGCUGUGGCACAGGCUGGCAGUUGCAGCUCUGACUUGACCCCUAGCCUGGGAACCAACAUAUGCCGCAGGUACAGCCCUAAAAAGAAAAAAAGAAAUGAGUCAACUUAGUAUUUAAUUACUUCCAGAAAAAAAGCUUAACACUAUGAUAUCACUGAAAAAUCAUAGUACUUGAAAAUCAUUUUCCAAAAUUCACUUCAUCUUUGAUUUUCAUCAUACAGUAAGUCAAUAUAUUUCUCUGGGAAUUCUUAACAUAUAACUCACUCAAUUAGAUUAAGUAAAUUGUAUAAAGUACCUAGUCAAGCGUAUAUACAUGUAGUAAGUGCUCAACAAAUACUAUCUCCUCAACUCAAAGGAAGGUUUUACUGCCGGGAAGGUUUUAAUGCUUCUCUAAGAUUUUCUCUAUAUCCAAAAUAGGCAAUUAUCAACACUUGCUUUAAGCUUUUCCAUGCCUAAUCCAUCUCUGACAAUACUGUGCUGGGAAUCUUGAAUCUCAAUUUAGGUUUAUCAAAGUAUUUGAGUAAAUUCAGUUGUCUAAAAUCCUCUUGCAUCUCACUGUCACAUGGGGGAAAUACUAGUUAAGCUUUUCACUGGUCAUAAUAAAUUAUUGAGUUACUCUUUUUGGUCUCUGAAACAUGGAUCUGUUCUCAAGCAACAUGGAAAACCAAUUCUUUAGGCAAAACUUUAGUGCUUGUAAAAAUACUUGUUAAAAUAAAUGAUAUUUACAGAAUCCAGUCCAGGUAGGGAAUGUGCUAUAUAACAACUCAUCUGGAUUUCCCAAGUAUUAACCUUGGAUCAAGUUAGUCUCUUGGAACUUAACUUAGAAGCUGGCAGGCUCUUCUCUCUCUCUCUUUUUAAAAUCUAUUUUUUUAAAAGCUUUAUUAAAGUAUAGAUGAUUUACAAGGUUGUUUUAAUUUCUGCUGUACAACAAAGUGUUUCAGUUAUACAUGUACACACAGCCAUUCUUUCAAAUUAUUUUUCUGCAUCCACAUAGACUAUCAGAGAAUAUUGGGUAGAGUUCUCUGUGCUAUAAAGCAAAUCCCUGUUGGCCAUCAUUCCAUAUACCUCACUGGCAAUAUUCCAAUUCCCAAGCCUAUCCUGUCCUCUUCGUAAUAAGUUUUUCAAAGUCUAUUUGUCUGUUUCUAUUCUGCAAAUAAAUUCAUUUGUAUCCUUUUCUUAGAUUAUACAUAUAAGUGAUAUCAUAUGAUGUUUGUCUUUCACUGUCUAACUUCACUUAGUAUGAUAAUUUCUAGGUCCAUACUUGUUGCUGCAAAUGCCAUUAUUUAUUUUUUUAUGGCUGAUUAAUAUUCCAUUAUACACAUCUUUCUUAUUCAUUCUUCUGUCAAUGGACAUUUAGGUUGCUUCCAUAUCUUGGCUAUUAUAAACAGUACUGCAGGAGUUCCCGUCGUGGCGCAGUGGUUAACGAAUCCGACUAGGAACCAUGAGGUUGCGGGUUCAGUCCUGCCCUUGCUCAGUGGGUUAACGAUCCGGCGUUGCCAUGAGCUGUGGUGUAGGUUGCAGACGCGGCUCGGAUCCCGCGUUGCUGUGGCUCUGGCGUAGGCCGGUGGCUACAGCUCCGAUUGGACCCCUAGCCUGGGAACCUCCAUAUGCCGCGGGAGUGGCCCAAGAAAUAGCAACAACAACAAC